GUCUACGGCCAUGCUACCCUGAACAAGCCCGAUCCUGUCUGAUCUUGGAAGCUAAGCAGGGUCGGGCCUGGUUAGUACUUGGAUGGGAGAUCACCUAGAAAGACCAGGUGCUGUAGGAG
rnacentral:rRNA from 1 species